rnacentral:rRNA from 1 species
UGGUCUUGACAUCCACGGAAGUUUUCAGAGAUGAGAAUGUGCCUUCGGGAACCGUGAGACAGGUGCUGCAUGGCUGUCGUCAGCUCGUGUUGUGAAAUGUUGGGUUAAGUCCCGCAACGAGCGCAACCCUUAUCCUUUGUUGCCAGCGGUCCGGCCGGGAACUCAAAGGAGACUGCCAGUGAUAAACUGGAGGAAGGUGGGGAUGACGUCAAGUCAUCAUGGCCCUUACGACCAGGGCUA